UGGGGAAUAUUGCACAAUGGACGGAAGUCUGAUGCAGCGACGCCGCGUGGGGGAUGAAGGCUUUCGGGUUGUAAACUCCUUUCAGUACAGAAGAAGCUUUAUUGUGACGUUAUGUGCAGAAGAAGCGCCGGCUAACUACGUGCCAGCAGCCGCGGUAAUACGUAGGGCGCGAGCGUUGUCCGGAAUUAUUGGGCGUAAAGCGAGCGCAGGCGGUUAGAAAAGUCUGAAGUGAAAGGCAGUGGCUCAACCAUUGUAGGCUUUGGAAACUGUUUAACUUGAGUGCAGAAGGGGAGAGUGGAAUUCCAUGUGUAGCGGUGAAAUGCGUAGAUAUAUGGAGGAACACCGGUGGCGAAAGCGGCUCUCUGGUCUGUAACUGACGCUGAGGCUCGAAAGCGUGGGGAGCGAACAGG
rnacentral:rRNA from 1 species